AGCCGCAGAGAGAAGAAGCUGCCCAAGAAUGGAAAGGAAGAAAUAUAUCACAUCAUCUGUCUGUCCACGGGCUUUCCUUGGGGCUUAUGAAGAUUUCUUCAUGGUAACUAUUCCUUCAUUGAUUUAAAAGAGCCAGGACGUGACAGACAUCUGAUAAAUAAUUCUCAACAUACACCAUGCUUUUUCCUAGUGGACUUCGAUUCCUCAAAAGUGAGGGGACUCAAGCUGGUGACAUAUGUAUUCAGAGGGAUUCUCAGUGCAAAAAAAAA